CAAGAUUGCCGCUCUCCUCGCACGACUAUUCAAGCUUUCGUUGGAGAGAAGCACACGUCCUAGGUAGCGAGAUGGAAGAGUCGCGACACACCGACCCGAACCCUAGCGAGGAGGUGUUCCAUCCGAGAGGAGGAGGAGGAGGAGGUAAGAAUGAUCCCUUCCCAUGUAAAUUUGCCCCUCGAUCGUAGGUUUUUAGCAAUUCUUUUUUGGGGGUGACGAGGCAGCUUAGAUCGGUUUGGGGCGGGGGCGCGUCUGGGGACUUUUGUGGUUAGAAGGGCUUCUUGGGCUUGGUAACGCGAGAAAGAUUCCGGAUGGGCUUGCCGACAUUGUUCGGGUUUGCGAAAUGAUCCCGUUCUUGGUUGUGAUUUCGAUCGGCGGCAUCGGAGAGGGAGGAACGUGGGUUUUUGAUCUUUUGCUUUCCAUUGGUUGUUCGUUGGAUGUCAUGCGAGGGUUUUGAAAGAGGAAGGGGAAAUGAGGAGCCGGAUAGUUCAGUGAUGGAUCGGGUAUUUGUGGGUUUCUUCUGCGAUAGAUGAGCAAAUCCGGGUUCUGUCCUCGAUCCUUCGAAGAACCCCUUUCAUUUUUUUGCUGGUGAACCCGUUUGCAUUUACCUUUCGUAUGUGAUCAUUAAGGUUCCCGUCUUUUCUUCCUUCCCUGAUUCUUGUCGCUGAAAUAUUAUGUACUAUGAAAAUUUUCUGAAUUAUUUUGCUACAAUCUUUCUAUAAAUUUGAGAGGUUUUGGAUAUGAUCGACAGGAUCGUUUGAAUAUUCUUGGGUGGCCAUUGUAAACGUCUAUGCAUGGCACCUGACAUGGAAUCCAUUUCAAAGGUUUAUUAUUAGGGUUUCUUGAUCUCCGUGCUGUGUGAUGGGUUCGGUAUCGUUCUUGCAACAUCCGAUUGAGUGGUACAAGGAUGCUUGCUUGAUACUAUUGAUAAAAUCUGCAUUAUGUGUAUGUGUACUUUGCGUGAUUCGUGCCUGAUUUUUCUUUGAUACCAUCCUAAUUUGGGGGUACGCUUUAGAUCAAGCGCAGGAGAGCCGGGAUAGAGAAAAAUAAGAGUUGCUUAGUUUCAUUUUGGUUCUUCUGUUUGGUUCGUAUAGUUUCUGAGUUUUAGUCAAAAUAUCAUGUGAGUAGCGAGUUAGUGCUUCUUAGGAUUACUCAAGGAUGUCCUGUUUUUCCUUGUGUCUAUUGUUCUUGAUGUGUGUAUGAACUUAAAGACUCCACUCUCUGAUGUUUUCUACAAGUUCUCAUGAGUCACUAUGAUUGUAGCACAUAACACUCACUUAUGGGUUGCUUCAGGUGAAGAUAUAUUAGCAAAUCUUAAUAGUUGCCUGGAUGUUGCAUAUCAGUUAGGUAAACUUGGAAAUGCUACAAAUAUUCUGUUGGAUAAAUUUAGGUUAAUAACUAUGCAUGAAUUGACUACAGGCAGUCGUAAUUUUAACUUGCAUCCUGUUCUGUUCUGUUCUGUUUCUUUCCUCACACAUCUUUUGUAAGGCAUCCAUCCCUGUGCAAAUUUAAUUUCUCAUUUUCUUCAUCUGAUGAUUAGAAGUCCACAGGUACACAAGGUAAAUUUUGAGUCUCAUGGGGAUUUGGAUGUAUUUCAGAAUUAUCUAGAUGCUAAUUCUUAGACUAUUUAUCUUAUUUUCCACCCUGUUGCUUUGCAGAAGUUCCUAAUAUAUCCAACUUGAGUUGGACAUUGCCCCUUAUGGCACCUUGUCUAUUAGCAUCACUAGUUCAUAAGAAUUGAAGUUUAGGUAGUGAACAAUACUUUAAGGGUGAACGUUGUAGAUGAUGCUGCCUCUCCAUCUUCCUUUUCAAAGCAUAUGGUUAGGAUGAACUGGUUUACCAUAGCAAUCGAAUUGUUCUCACGCAAAGAUUCAUCAUUGAAGGUCCUGAGUUUCUUAUGUUGGUCGAACUUUGGGCAGUCAUUUUUUUAUGUACUAUUAUUUUAUCUACACUAUUUAUUUGUUGACAUCUGGAUGUGGGUUUAUAGAUAAUGACUGGGAAACUGUUCUUGAUGGCUAAACAUUUAUACCCCUUAAUGUGGUUCAUGGUAUCCAGGAGUCUAUGGCCCAGAUUGUGUAGAAAGGAUGUUGACUUUGGUCAAUGUUUCAGUACACUGGGAUUAUAUUUCAGCCAAAACUUCACAUCUCAGCUUAGGAAUUGCUCCACUUUAUUUGUAGCUUAAGAAUUGGUAAGCCUCAUGCCAGAAUAAGGGUUGCCCUACUAGGUUUACAUUUUCUGAGAUCAGCAUACAACUUAAAGAGUUUUUUUCAUAACUUAUAAAAAAAUAAAAAUAGGUAUCUGAUCUUUUGUUGGUUGAUGCAAUUGUUCUUGAUUCAAGAAUGAAGUACACACAUGGUCUCUUCCUUUAAAGAUGAAGAGGAAUUGAGGAUACAUGUUCUUCACAUUAAAUUUGAGCUCUCAAACAGAAUGGAAAUUCUGAGAAUACACUUAGCUAUUAAAUACAGAUUCUGCUGCUGAUAUGAUUAUUUUCUUAGCAAUUAACAAGUUUGUUUUUAGGCAAAAUAGUUUCUUCCUAUAAAUCUUUUACCAGGACAUAUAUGGAGAUUAACUCAUGAACUGACUCUAUUUUGUAAACAGAAGUAAUAUCUACUGUCUUUGCCUUUUUGCUUGUAAGUUUAGUGCAUGACUGUUGCAGAAUUGACCAUGUAAGGAUAGGUUCUCAGUACCAACUUGGAGCUUGACUGGUGAAAGAAGCGUCACUUAUCACCACUGAAAUUCACAACCAAAUUAAUACCAAUAUUUUCUUAUUAAUUAGGAUAGAUAAAAAUGUUUAAUACAAAGGUAGACAAGGCAGAUACAGCCUUAUCCCAUCUGACAACAUGACACUGAUAAUAGACAGCCAUGCACACCCAAUUUAUUUAAUCAAACAUAAUAGUAAUACCCCACACUUUUUCCAUAUUCCAAUUUUUAUAUAUUAUUACUGAUAAGUACUUCACUGGCCACAUUUGUGGUCAACACAAGCGCAGGCAGGACCACACUUGCACAUGCCAUCAUUCUCAGCAGCUGCUGGGGCAUUGAUCACAUCGUCAAAGUAGCUGAAGAAAUUACAUGAAAGAACUGCAACACAAGAUGAAGGGUCGAAGUAGAUGAUGACUUACACGCACUGGCUCUUGUCAGCGCAGUCGCAGUUGCCACAGGUUGACAUGUUGAGGUGGAAUGAGAUAACUGAGGGCAGAAGGCUACAAGAAAGAUCAAGAGUUGUGGGAUGUGUUCUUGGGGAUGAGUGUUUGCUUGGUUGGUGCUUAUUUAUAGGCCUUUGUUUUUUUUUGGUUCCUGAAGAGACCUCCCUUCAUUGUUUGUGCUGUCCACACGCCGCCACCAAGAUAAGCAUCCAAAGGAAUCUCAAUUAUGGGGAGCAGAAGACAGACAUACACCUCUCAUGUCAACAUCUUAAUUCUCUGACCUUUUCCCAAUGUUGGAGAUAGGCAUCGAAGCUUGUGAAGGUUCAUCUUUCCAUACCGGGUGUGGUGGAUAUUCUGUCAUCCUCUUGCUGAGUUGUGAUGGGAGUUUUGUGGAGAGUAGAAUCCAUCAGACUAUCAGGCCAAGGAGGUGGAUAUGAUCUCAUCCAUUGUUCAUCAAGCAAUGAUAGUUUACCCAGUAAAUUUAUGCUGGUGGCCAAGAUGGUUGUGAAGCAGGAACAUCGAUGAAGGGUGGGGAGAUUCUGAAGGUAAUGGUACUUGUGCGCCUCACCUCAACAUUUCUGGCGUGGUCUGGUCUGGUCUGGUCUGGUCUUUAAAUCAACAGGUUCUACUGCUUCCUAUACAAAUCAGAAUCAGCAUUUUCAAGAUGGGGCCAAUUUUACCAGCAGCAGAUAGGGAGGGGCCCAAAGGCCGGCUUAUCUUCCGCUAUUAUACGCAACAUUCUAGUUAUGGAAAGUAGAACAUCAUGAAUGCAGGCGGCUUCCACGACAAUGACUUAUCUUAAAAUAUGUUGGAUUUUUAAUUAUAUAUAUUUUUUAAAAUCAUCAA